rnacentral:rRNA from 1 species
UUUUUGAAAAUAAUAAAAAGUNUAAUCUGCCCACUGAAUUUAUUUAAAGGGCUGCAGUAUAUUGACUGUACAAAGGUAGCAUAAUCAAUAGUCUUUUAAUUGAAGACUUGUAUGAAUGAUUUGAUGAAAUAUGAACUGUCUCUUUUUUAAAAAUAAAAUUUAAUUUUUUAGUUAAAAAGCUAAAAUAAUUAUAAAAGACGAGAAGACCCUAUAGAGUUUUAUAGUUAUUUAAUUUAAAAAUUUUAUAUAUAAUUUAAAUUUAAAAUUAAUUAAUUAUUUUAUUGGGGUGAUAGAAAAAUUAAAAAAACUUUUUUUAAAAAUUUAACAUUAAUUUAUGAAAUUAUGAUCCAUAAUUUAUGAUUAAAAGAAUCAAUUACCUUAGGGAUAACAGCGUAAUUUUUUUUUUUAGUACAAAUAAGAAAAAGAGUUUGCGACCUCGAUGUUGGAUUAAGAUAAAAUUUAAAUGCAAAAGUUUAAAAUUUUUGAUCUGUUCGAUCAUUAAAAUCUUACAUGAUCUGA